rnacentral:lncRNA from 1 species
UCUGUCUAUUUCUCCUGCAGAGUGAGCUGGACUUGGAAAAGGGCUUGGAGAUGAGAAAAUGGGUCCUGUCGGGAAUCCUGGCUAGCGAGGAGACUUACCUGAGCCACCUGGAGGCACUGCUGCUGCCAUGAAGCCUUUGAAAGCCGCUGCCACCACCUCUCAGCCGGUGCUGACGAGUCAGCAGAUCGAGACCAUCUUCUUCAAAGUGCCUGAGCUCUACGAGUCCUGUCCAGCAUCAAUGAGGAGAUCACACCCCGACGGCAGUCCAUGACGGUGAAGAAGGGAGAGACCGGCAGCUGCUGAAGGACAGCUUCAUGGUGGAGCUGGUGGAGGGGGCCCGCAAGCUGCGCCACGUCUUCCUGUUCACCGACCUGCUUCUCUGCACCAAGCUCAAGAAGCAGAGCGGAGGAAAACGCAGCAGUAUGACUGCAAAUGGUACAUUCCGCUCACGGAUCUCAGCUUCCAGAUGGUGGAUGAACUGGAGGCA